rnacentral:rRNA from 1 species
ACACUCCUGCGGGAGGCAGCAGUGGGGAAUUUUGGACAAUGGGCGAAAGCCUGAUCCAGCAAUGCCGCGUGAGUGAAGAAGGCCUUCGGGUUGUAAAGCUCUUUUGUCAGGGAAGAAACGGUGAAAGCUAAUAUCUUUUGCUAAUGACGGUACCUGAAGAAUAAGCACCGGCUAACUACGUGCCAGCAGCCGCGGUAAUACGCAGGGUGCAAGCGUUAAUCGGAAUUACGGGGCGUAAAGCGUGCGCAGGCGGUUUUGUAAGUCUGAUGUGAAAUCCCCGGGCUCAACCUGGGAAUUGCAUUGGAGACUGCAAGGCUAGAAUCUGGCAGAGGGGGGUAGAAUUCCACGUGUAGCAGUGAAAUGCGUAGAUAUGUGGAGGAACACCGAUGGCGAAGGCAGCCCCCUGGGUCAAGAUUGACGCUCAUGCACGAAAGCGUGGGGAGCAAACAGGAUUAGAAACCCCAGUAGUCCCAUG